GUUUGCCUAUGUGUGGAUGGUGUUCAGCACCAAGGACAGACGUGUUUGCCUAUGUGUGGAUGGUGUUCAGCACCAGUGACAGACAUGUUUUGCA
rnacentral:pre_miRNA from 1 species